rnacentral:rRNA from 1 species
UACGUAGGGCGCAAGCGUUGUCCGGAAUUAUUGGGCGUAAAGAGCUCGUAGGCGGUCUGUUGCGUCCGCUGUGAAAACUCGGGGCUUAACCCCGAGCCUGCAGUGGAUACGGGCAGACUAGAGGUAGGUAGGGGAGAAUGGAAUUCCCGGUGUAGCGGUGAAAUGCGCAGAUAUCGGGAGGAACACCGGUGGCGAAGGCGGUUCUCUGGGCCUUACCUGACGCUGAGGAGCGAAAGCAUGGGGAGCAAACAGG